UCCCCGAUAGCUCAGUCGGUAGAGCGACGGACUGUUAAUCCGCAGGUCCCUGGUUCGCAGCCAGUCGGGGAGCCA
rnacentral:tRNA from 1 species